rnacentral:rRNA from 1 species
UUAAGUUAUUAAGGGCGCACGGUGGAUGCCUUGGCACUAGAAGCCGAUGAAGGACGUUACUAACGACGAUAUGCUUUGGGGAGCUGUAAGUAAGCUUUGAUCCAGAGAUUUCCGAAUGGGGAAACCCAGCAUGAGUUAUGUCAUGUUAUCGAUAUGUGAAUACAUAGCAUAUCAGAAGGCACACCCGGAGAACUGAAACAUCUUAGUACCCGGAGGAAGAGAAAGAAAAUUCGAUUCCCUUAGUAGCGGCGAGCGAAACGGGAAGAGCCCAAACCAACAAGCUUGCUUGUUGGGGUUGUAGGACACUCUAUACGGAGUUACAAAGGACGACAUUAGACGAAUCAUCUGGAAAGAUGAAUCAAAGAAGGUAAUAAUCCUGUAGUCGAAAAUGUUGUCUCUCUUGAGUGGAUCCUGAGUACGACGGAGCACGUGAAAUUCCGUUGGAAUCUGGGAGGACCAUCUCCUAAGGCUAAAUACUCUCUAGUGACCGAUAGUGAACCAGUACCGUGAGGGAAAGGUGAAAAGCACCCCGGAAGGGGAGUGAAAUAGAACCUGAAACCGUGUGCUUACAAGUAGUCAGAGCCCGUUAAUGGGUGAUGGCGUGCCUUUUGUAGAAUGAACCGGCGAGUUACGAUUUGAUGCAAGGUUAAGCAGUAAAUGUGGAGCCGUAGCGAAAGCGAGUCUGAAUAGGGCGUUUAGUAUUUGGUCGUAGACCCGAAACCAGGUGAUCUACCCUUGGUCAGGUUGAAGUUCAGGUAACACUGAAUGGAGGACCGAACCGACUUACGUUGAAAAGUGAGCGGAUGAACUGAGGGUAGCGGAGAAAUUCCAAUCGAACCUGGAGAUAGCUGGUUCUCUCCGAAAUAGCUUUAGGGCUAGCCUCAAGUGAUGAUUAUUGGAGGUAGAGCACUGUUUGGACGAGGGGCCCCUCUCGGGUUACCGAAUUCAGACAAACUCCGAAUGCCAAUUAAUUUAACUUGGGAGUCAGAACAUGGGUGAUAAGGUCCGUGUUCGAAAGGGAAACAGCCCAGACCACCAGCUAAGGUCCCAAAAUAUAUGUUAAGUGGAAAAGGAUGUGGCGUUGCCCAGACAACUAGGAUGUUGGCUUAGAAGCAGCCAUCAUUUAAAGAGUGCGUAAUAGCUCACUAGUCGAGUGACACUGCGCCGAAAAUGUACCGGGGCUAAACAUAUUACCGAAGCUGUGGAUUGUCCUUUGGACAAUGGUAGGAGAGCGUUCUAAGGGCGUUGAAGCAUGAUCGUAAGGACAUGUGGAGCGCUUAGAAGUGAGAAUGCCGGUGUGAGUAGCGAAAGACGGGUGAGAAUCCCGUCCACCGAUUGACUAAGGUUUCCAGAGGAAGGCUCGUCCGCUCUGGGUUAGUCGGGUCCUAAGCUGAGGCCGACAGGCGUAGGCGAUGGAUAACAGGUUGAUAUUCCUGUACCACCUAUAAUCGUUUUAAUCGAUGGGGGGACGCAGUAGGAUAGGCGAAGCGUGCGAUUGGAUUGCACGUCUAAGCAGUAAGGCUGAGUAUUAGGCAAAUCCGGUACUCAUUAAGGCUGAGCUGUGAUGGGGAGAAGACAUUGUGUCUUCGAGUCGUUGAUUUCACACUGCCGAGAAAAGCCUCUAGAUAGAAAAUAGGUGCCCGUACCGCAAACCGACACAGGUAGUCAAGAUGAGAAUUCUAAGGUGAGCGAGCGAACUCUCGUUAAGGAACUCGGCAAAAUGACCCCGUAACUUCGGGAGAAGGGGUGCUCUUUAGGGUUAACGCCCAGAAGAGCCGCAGUGAAUAGGCCCAAGCGACUGUUUAUCAAAAACACAGGUCUCUGCUAAACCGUAAGGUGAUGUAUAGGGGCUGACGCCUGCCCGGUGCUGGAAGGUUAAGAGGAGUGGUUAGCUUCUGCGAAGCUACGAAUCGAAGCCCCGGUAAACGGCGGCCGUAACUAUAACGGUCCUAAGGUAGCGAAAUUCCUUGUCGGGUAAGUUCCGACCCGCACGAAAGGCGUAACGAUUUGGGCACUGUCUCAACGAGAGACUCGGUGAAAUCAUAGUACCUGUGAAGAUGCAGGUUACCCGCGACAGGACGGAAAGACCCCGUGGAGCUUUACUGUAGCCUGAUAUUGAAAUUCGGCACAGCUUGUACAGGAUAGGUAGGAGCCUUUGAAACGUGAGCGCUAGCUUACGUGGAGGCGCUGGUGGGAUACUACCCUAGCUGUGUUGGCUUUCUAACCCGCACCACUUAUCGUGGUGGGAGACAGUGUCAGGCGGGCAGUUUGACUGGGGCGGUCGCCUCCUAAAAGGUAACGGAGGCGCUCAAAGGUUCCCUCAGAAUGGUUGGAAAUCAUUCAUAGAGUGUAAAGGCAUAAGGGAGCUUGACUGCGAGACCUACAAGUCGAGCAGGGUCGAAAGACGGACUUAGUGAUCCGGUGGUUCCGUAUGGAAGGGCCAUCGCUCAACGGAUAAAAGCUACCCCGGGGAUAACAGGCUUAUCUCCCCCAAGAGUUCACAUCGACGGGGAGGUUUGGCACCUCGAUGUCGGCUCAUCGCAUCCUGGGGCUGUAGUCGGUCCCAAGGGUUGGGCUGUUCGCCCAUUAAAGCGGUACGCGAGCUGGGUUCAGAACGUCGUGAGACAGUUCGGUCCCUAUCCGUCGUGGGCGUAGGAAAUUUGAGAGGAGCUGUCCUUAGUACGAGAGGACCGGGAUGGACAUACCUCUGGUGUACCAGUUGUCGUGCCAACGGCAUAGCUGGGUAGCUAUGUGUGGACGGGAUAAGUGCUGAAAGCAUCUAAGCAUGAAGCCCCCCUCAAGAUGAGAUUUCCCAACUUCGGUUAUAAGAUCCCUCAAAGAUGAUGAGGUUAAUAGGUUCGAGGUGGAAGCAUGGUGACAUGUGGAGCUGACGAAUACUAAUCGAUCGAAGACUUAAUCAA